GAUGAACGCUAGCGGCGUGCUUAAUGCAUGCAAGUCGAACGAGAAGUCAUUAAACUUCGGUUUAGUGAUGGAAAGUGGCGAACGGGUGAGUAACACGUUGGUGACCUGCCUCGAAGAGGGGGACAACCACUAGAAAUGGUGGCUAAUACCCCAGAUGUUUGCCUUUUUAGAAACGGUAAACUAAAGCUCCGGCGCUUCGAGAGGGGCCUGCGUCCCAUCAGCUUGUUGGUAAGGUAAUGGCUUACCAAGGCUCAGACGGGUAGGGGACGUGAGAGCGUGAUCCCCCACAAUGGUACUGACACACGGACCAUAUACCUACGGGUAGCAGCAGCAAGGAAUAUUGCGCAAUGGGCGAAAGCCUGACGCAGCAACGCCGCGUGAAGGACGAAGGUCUUCGGAUUGUAAACUUCUUUUAUGAGGGAAUAGAAAGGAAGGUACCUCAUGAAUAAGCUCCGGCUAACUACG
rnacentral:rRNA from 1 species